GAUCCUGGGCUCAGGAUGAACGCUAGCUACAGGCUUAACACAUGCAAGUCGAGGGGCAGCAUGAUUGAAGCUUGCUUCAAUUGAUGGCGACCGGCGCACGGGUGAGUAACACGUAUCCAACCUUCCGUACACUCAGGGAUAGCCUUUCGAAAGAAAGAUUAAUACCUGAUGGUAUCUUAAGCACACAUGUAAUUAAGAUUAAAGAUUUAUCGGUGUAUGAUGGGGAUGCGUU
rnacentral:rRNA from 1 species